UACGUAGGUGGCAAGCGUUGUCCGGAUUUACUGGGCGUAAAGAGCGCGCAGGCGGUCGUUCAAGUCGCGUGUGAAAGCCCCCGGCUCAACUGGGGAGGGUCACGCGAUACUGAUCGACUCGAAGGCAGGAGAGGGUAGUGGAAUUCCCGGUGUAGUGGUGAAAUGCGUAGAUAUCGGGAGGAACACCAGUGGCGAAGGCGACUACCUGGCCUGUUCUUGACGCUUAGGCGCGAAAGCUAGGGGAGCAAACGGG
rnacentral:rRNA from 1 species